rnacentral:rRNA from 1 species
GCCAUCCUUGGGAUACCACCCUUGUAGUACUGGGACUCUAACCAUAGGCCAUGAAUCUGGUCUUGGGACACUGUCAGGUGGGCAGUUUGACUGGGGCGGUCGCCUCCCAAAAGGUAACGGAGGCGCUCAAAGGUUCUCUCAGUACGGUCGGAAAUCGUACGUAGAGUGUAAAGGCAAAAGAGAGCUGGAUUGCAAGACAUACAGGUCGAGCAAGGAUGAAAAUCGGACUUAGUGAUCCGGUGGUGCUGCGUGGAAGGGCCAUCGCUCAACGGAUAAAAGCUACCCUGGGGAUAACAGGCUUAUCUCCCCCAAGA